rnacentral:rRNA from 1 species
AUUGAACGCUGGCGGCAGGCCUAACACAUGCAAGUCGAACGAGCGGCGGACGGGUGAGUAAUUUCUGGGAAUCUGCCCGCUGGAGGGGGAUAACUACUUGAAACGGUAGCUCAUACCGCAUACUAUCGGAUGUGCCCAGAUUGGAUUAGCUAGUAGGGGGGGUAAAGGCUCACCUAGGCGACGAUCCCUAGCUGGUCUGAGAGUAUGACCAGCCACACUGGGAAUGGGACACGGUCCAGACUCCUACGGGAGGCAGCAGUGGGGAAUAUUGCACAAUGGGCGCAAGCCUGAUGCAGCCAUGCCGCGUGUAUGAAGAAGGCCUUAGGGUUGUAAAGUACUUUCAGCGGGGAGGCGUUACCCGCAGAAGAAGCACCGGCUAACACCGUGCCAGCAGCCGCGGUAAUAC